AUUGUGGGCAGAAGGAUCCUCCUCGGAUCAUCACUGCUCACUGAGGAUGACCUGGAGUACUUGGCUGAACCUGUACCAGAUCAUGGAGGAACAUAUCCAAGCAAGUCUUGAAUGUCUCCAAGCCUCUUCCAGUGUUCUGUCACCCUCACAGUCAAAAAAUUCUCCUUUGUGUUUACUUGAAACUUCCUAUGCCUCAGCUUCCAGCCAUUGCCCUUGUCCUGUCAUCACGCAUUGCCAAGAAGAGCCUGGCUGCAUCCUCCUGGCACUCAUUUCUCCUUCUGUGUAAGUAAAUAACCAGCUCUAAAAUGUAGGUAGAACAAACAGCACUCUAGAUGACCUCAGGUACCAAGUGAAGUGGCAGUGCCCACCUUUGCAGGCAGAGUCUCCCACAGAGCAAAACCCUGCAGCCUGUGAGGACAGCAAAGCCACACUUUCUGUGCAGGAACUGAAGGGCUCUGGUGAUGUCUGGGGUUAUAGGAUGGACUUAGCAGCCACGUGGAGAAACCGUUCAGGACAAACUGCAAAUCACAUCCUUCAAAAAAAAAGAGGCCUUUGGAGGGAGCAAACCAGGGCUAUUUCCCCUCUUGGCUGAGGCAGCAAUGAGGAAAAGAAGUGGCUAAGACACUGAGACAAUCUUGGGCCCCUGCAAGGGGCCUGGCAGGAAGAGAGGCACUGCCAUCAAUUUUUGAACUCCACAUUGUCAUGGAGGGCCUGUAGGCCUGAAAAGAGGCUUCUUUGUGCCCCUACAUGCCUGGACAUGUUUUUCUGCCAGGACCCAUGGUUGUAACCAGGUUGUGUAAGCCACACACACCCAGCUCGUGUCUCCCUGAGGCUAAUCCACGUGAUCCCCACAUUUGGGAAAGUCCAGGCAAAUGCCUCCUGCCUAUUUUGGUAAGGUUUGGCUGACUGCCAACCUGAUUGGUCACUCUAGUGGCCAAAGGGACCAUUAAUCUCGGCCCACAGUCAGUAAAGAGGGAUGCA